rnacentral:rRNA from 1 species
GACGAACGCUGGCGGCGUGCCUAAUACAUGCAAGUAGAACGCACAGUUUAUACCGUAGCUUGCUACACCAUAGACUGUGAGUUGCGAACGGGUGAGUAACGCGUAGGUAACCUGCCUGGUAGCGGGGGAUAACUAUUGGAAACGAUAGCUAAUACCGCAUAAUAUUAAUUAUUGCAUGAUAAUUAAUUGAAAGGUGCAAUUGCACCACUACCAGAUGGACCUGCGUUGUAUUAGCUAGUAGGUGAGGUAACGGCUCACCUAGGCGACGAUACAUAGCCGACCUGAGAGGGUGAUCGGCCACACUGGGACUGAGACACGGCCCAGACUCCUACGGGAGGCAGCAGUAGGGAAUCUUCGGCAAUGGACGAAAGUCUGACCGAGCAACGCCGCGUGAGUGAAGAAGGUUUUCGGAUCGUAAAGCUCUGUUGUAAGAGAAGAAACGGGGUGUGAGAGUGGAAAGUUC